rnacentral:sRNA from 1 species
AAGAUUCGAACCUGCCGCAGGUUCGGGUCUCACGUAGUGAGACAACGGAGCCGCUUGCGGCGACGGCCCGAAGGGCGAGCGAAGCGAGUCAUCCUGCACGACCUACCA